rnacentral:lncRNA from 1 species
CCCUGGAAUAAACCUCACUGGGUCAUAGUGCAUAGUGUAUGGUUAUUUUUAUAUAUCACUGAAUUCUAUUUGCUAACAUUUUGUAAGGAUUUUUGCAUCAGUAUUCAUGAAGGAUAUUGGUCUUGUUCUUCUUCCUCUUUUUUUUUGCUUUCCCUGGCUUUAGUAUCAGGUGUUACUGACUUCAUAAAAUGAAUUGGGAAGUGUUCUCUCCUUUUCCAUUUUUUGGAAGAAAAUGUAUAAAAUUGGGAAAAUCUAUCUAGGAUAAUCAGAGGGAAUAGGUGUUUGUUUAACAAUGGUUAACACUUAUCCUGAAGAGACUAAUCAAUUUUUUAAUAUAAGAUUCAAUUCUACCCGAUUGUGGGCCAGGCACUGUUCUAAGCAUUUUGUCAAUGUUAAAUGGUUUAACCUCAUACAAGUCAUAUAGCUUGUAAGUGGCAGUAGAGAUUUAAACCCAAUCAUCUUUUC